GGUUUUUUGAUUUUAAUAUAAAAUUAGGCCUGCCCAAUGAUUUAUUAAAUGGCCGCGGUAUUUUGACCGUGCGAAGGUAGCGUAAUCAUUAGUCUUUUAAUUAGGGACUUGUAUGAAUGGUCUGACGAGGGAAGAGCUGUCUCAUUUUUAUUUAUAGAAUUUUAAUUUUGAGUGAAAAUGCUUAAAUUUUUGUGAAAGACGAGAAGACCCUAUAGAGUUUUAUAGCUGUGCGUUUCAAGAAUAAAGGUAUUGUUAUCUUGGGAAUUUUACAAUUAUUUUGUUGGGGUGACAGGAAAAUUUGAUAAACUUUUCUUAUUAUAAUACAUAUGUGUAUAUUUAUGAUCCAAUUUUUUUGAUUAAAAGAUUAAAUUACCUUAGGGAUAACAGCGUUAUCUUUCCUUAGAGUUCUAAUCGAAGGGGAGGUUUGCGAGGGGAGGUUUGCGAUAUCUUUCCUUAGAGUUCUAAUCGAAGGGGAGGUUUGCGAGGGGAGGUUUGCGA
rnacentral:rRNA from 1 species